AAAGGAACUAAGGGCG
rnacentral:rRNA from 1 species